rnacentral:rRNA from 1 species
AACGAACGCUGGCGGCAGGCCUAACACAUGCAAGUCGAGCGCCCCGCAAGGGGAGCGGCGGACGGGUGAGUAACGCGUGGGAACGUGCCCCUUUCUACGGAAUAGCCUCGGGAAACUGGGAGUAAUACCGUAUAAGCCCUACGGGGGAAAGAUUUAUCGGGAAGGGAUCGGCCCGCGUUGGAUUAGGUAGUUGGUGGGGUAAUGGCCUACCAAGCCGACGAUCCAUAGCUGGUUUGAGAGGAUGAUCAGCCACACUGGGACUGAGACACGGCCCAGACUCCUACGGGAGGCAGCAGUGGGGAAUCUUAGACAAUGGGCGCAAGCCUGAUCUAGCCAUGCCGCGUGAGCGAUGAAGGCCUUAGGGUUGUAAAGCUCUUUCAGUGGGGAAGAUAAUGACUGUACCCACAGAAGAAGCCCCGGCUAACUCCGUGCCAGCCGCCGCAGUAACAC